rnacentral:rRNA from 1 species
UGAGGAAUAUUGGACAAUGGGGGCAACCCUGAUCCAGCAACGCCGCGUGGGGGAUGACGGUCUUUGGAUUGUAAACCCCUUUUCUCAGGGAAGAGGAAGGACGGUACCUGAGGAAUAAGUCACGGCUAACUACGUGCCAGCAGCCGCGGUAAUACGUAGGUGGCGAGCGUUAUCCGGAAUUACUGGGCGUAAAGCGCACGCAGGCGGUCAUUCAAGUCUGACGUGAAAGCUCCUGGCUUAACUGGGAGAGGUCGUUGGAAACUGGAUGGCUUGAGGCAAUGAGAGGGGUGCAGAAUUCCCGGUGUAGUGGUGGAAUGCGUAGAUAUCGGGAGGAAUACCAGUGGCGAAAGCGGCACCCUAGCAUUGGCCUGACGCUCAGGUGCGAAAGCGUGGGGAGCGAACGGGAUUAGAUACCCCCGUAGUCC